rnacentral:lncRNA from 1 species
CUCAGGGCUAGAGCAUUUCUUUGCUCUCUUAAGUGGGUGGUAAAUUGAUGCUGGCUGUCAGCUGGAUUGCUUAGCUGUGGCUGAAGGAGACCUUGGCUCCUCUCCAUGUGGCCGCUCCAUGAGUAGCUUGACUUCUGUCAUGGCGUGGUAGGAGAGUUCCACGAGCAAGUGUUCCAUAGGCUUUAUCACUUUUUUAGCCUCAGUAGUCAUAUCAUCACUUCCAUCAUAGUCACAAGCCAGCCAAGAUUCAAAGAAAGAGAACAUAGAUGCUAUAUCUCCAUGAACCAGAGUCACAAUGUAAGAAGGGUUUAGAUUUUGGCACAGUAGUGAUUAUAACAUAAUCUAUAUCACCUAAAAUAGGGAUAAAACCUAUAUAUUCUAUUUGAGAUGGGAAUCCACAAAAAAUUUUAUCAUGACCUGAUUUUGAAAAUCUUAUAAAUAUAUCCACCAUAUGUCCACCAUCCAACUUUAUUAAUAGCAAAGAAAGAAAGGAGGGAGGGAUGUAAGGAGGGAAGGAAAGAAAGAAGAAACGAAAGGAAGGAAGGAAAUAAUUAUAAGGUUUUGGAGAUAACUCCCUCAUUUUCUAAACUAUCUCUAAUAUUGCUAUUUUAAUUGUGUAUUUUGAAAAUAAUGGCCAUAAGUGUAAGUAAAAUAAAUCCCUAAGGUUUACAUUGGCACCAGGUGCUUAAGACAAAAAGUGGGUGCUUCUGUCAUGAUACUUUUGUUCACUAUUUCACUUGAUUGGAGCAUUAGAAUCUGUUUAUUCCUAGACAUUUUAUUUACAAAUUAUCCUUUUAUUUUCUUAUUUUAAAAAUGUUGUUGGAACACACACACACACACAGACACACACACACACACAGACACACACACACACACACACACACACAGACACACACACACACACACACAAUCCAUUCCUAUCUCCCAUACAGGUUAUUACAGAAUACUCAGUAGACCUCCCAGUGCGGUAUAGUUGGCCCCUGUAUCCUUGUUUUUAGAUACAUCCUUACUUGUUUGUGAUGUUCAAGUCAAUUGAUACUGAUUUUAAAAAUCUGCUAUAUUGUUUAUUAAAGCCGAAUUCCCAUUUUAGGGUGUCGCUGUUACAGUGUGUAAUAGUAAUGUGAAUUGAUUUAUUAAUUUUCUUUGGGGAAGUCUUACAAUCUCGCUCACUUCUUUUAUAUCUUCUUCAUCUUUAUUACUUAGGAUAAUAAAUUUGUCAAUUUCUCUUACCUACAUUUGCAACUUGCUGGUUUGUUCCUUUAAAUUUCCUAUAUAACGUGGUUCCUCUAUAAGAGAAAAACACUCCAGUAGGCAUUGCCUUUCAAAACUAAAAAUUUCUUACGUUUUUCUCUUCUCAAUCUGCUUUUAACUCUUUGUUGUCCCUUAAAGAGUCUAAAUUAUAGAUCAGAAGAAUCGAGAUGUUUUGAGAAAGCAACUUUAUGUUAAGGAAAUUUUCUCUGAAGCACACAUGUCAGACUUCCUUUGAGGAAAAAAAAAAUAACUGUUGAGUACUUUGGAAGUUCUGGAACAAUGAAAAUUAGUUAACAUUCAGAUGCACUGGUAAGGAAACUUUUAAAAACAUCAAGAUUGAUGUCAGUACCUGGUUUGUUAAUAUAAAUAUGUUUUCUGUUUUUUUUUAAUAUUAUGUAAUAAGCAUCAUUCACCAGACUUCUUGUUAUCUACCACCCAAUUCCCUCCCAAUCCAUAUGAAUAAUUAAUGAUCUGUAUCUCCCUUUCUUUGGGUUAUGACGUGGUAGGUACUGCAUUCUACUUUAAUAUAUUAAAUAUAUGCACUGUGAGAAUUUUAACUCCUCAUUGUUUCUAUUUGGGCUUGAAUUUGGCCCAGAAGUUUUCUGUUUGGGCAAGAAUCAAGGUUUGUGUUUAGUUUCUAUUUUUUUAGAAGUUUCUUUUCUUUUCAAACAAUUUAUUUUACUCUUUGAAGAAUUAAAAUGAAGAGUAACUUCCUAGAGCAUAUCUUAGGGGGGACUUUAUGUAUAUAUUUACUUAUUAUUAUUCUUGUCAUUAUUGUCAAUUAUCAUUAUCUUCUUGAGAAUUUUGUAAAGGAAAAUCUUUACUGUUCAAUGGUUAUGUCUGUGCCAAAAAUGAAAGUACAGUUUUCAAAAGAACUGAGAGUGUAUGUGUUUUAUCCAUAAAAGUCUUGAAAAAUGAUGUGAUUUUCAUUCAAAUCGGUAUAUAAUGUAUUUUUUUUUUUUUUGGUAGCAAAUUUCCUUUAUGAUCAGUUAAAAUGAGCCAGGGCUGGGGAUUCAAUGGAUUAUAAAUACAGAAACUUUGCAGAAAUGAGAGCGCACACAGUGUGAAGAUAAACAGAUAUUUAUCAAAUUACAUAUACAUAAGUAAACUUGUAGCUGCCUUGAAGUGAACAUGUAUUCUGAUGAUAUGAAUGCUUAUGAUAGGGAAUUACCUAUUUAGGAGGUCAGAGAAGGCUUUCCUGAACAAGCGGUUCUUGAACACUAACCUGUGGGAUGUGUUGGAUUUGUCUAAAGAGUAGGGAUACCAUUUCAGGAAGAGGCCCUUUGGCAGAAGACAAAACAGAUGAAAAAAAUAUCUUUCAUUUAGGUUUUAAUUUUAUCUGUACUUGUGCUCAUACCAUUCUCUAAUAAUGUUCUUUUACCUAAGCUUAAAUGGAGGCAACCCAAAUGGAUUCCUUCACAAAAUGUAUGUAAAUUUAUGUUAGGGACCUACAAUACAUGUCAUUAACCUUACUAUUCGUUUGAACAUUACACCUGCUUAAAUUUACAUCUUUGGAACUCCCAUAGUGGCUCAGUGGUCUAGCAUCCAUGAGGAUGCAGGUUCAAUCCCUGGCCUCACUCAGUGGGUUAAGGAUUGGGUGUUACUGUGGCUGUGGCAUUCACUAACAGCUACAGCUGUAAUUUGACCCCUAGCCUGGGAACCUCCAUAUGCUGCAGGUCUGGCCCUAAAAGGACAAAAAAAAUUUACAUCUUAGUAACCUUAGCCAUUUGUGUUAAAAUCAGAAGAUAUAUAAUGUUAGUGUUAAAAAGCAGAUUAAUGGUUAUUAAAUUCUAUCCUGAGUGUUGAGGAGAUGAAAAUUUGGGUGGUCUCUACUUUUAGUUUUGACUUGGCUACUUCAGAGUGACAUGCAAUUUCAUUCAUCAGUUGUCUUAUUUUAUUUUAUUUCAUUUCAUUUAUUUAUUUAUUUAUUUUUCCUUUUUGCCAUUUUCUUGGGCUGCUCUGCGGCAUAUGGAGGUUCCCAGGCUAGGGGUCAAAUUGGAGCUGUAGCCACCGGCCUACGCCAGAGCCACAGCAACGCGGGAUCCGUGCCGCGUCUGCGACCCACACCACAGCUCACGGCAAUGCUGGAUCCCCAACCCACUGAGCAAGGGCAGGGAUCGAACCCGCAACCUCAUGGUUCCUAGUCGGAUUUGUUAACCAUUGAGCCACGACAGGAACUCCUCAGUUGUCUUAUUUUAAAAUUUUGGAUUAGCCUUCCUUCCUGAUAACAGUUUUUCUGUUUCUAUAUUAAGUACUUUAAAAAAAUCACAGACUUCAUUUCAACACGUUAAGCAUUCUAAAAAUACUUUGGGGAAUAUUCUUGUCAUUUUUAUAUUCUAUUUGAAAGUGCAUAUGACUUAGAAUAAAAUCAUAUUGAAUCAGAAUGAUCUUUCCUUGUAGACUAUUGAUGUGCCAGCAGAAGUAUGGAUGUCUACUCUAGAGAUAGUGAGUAAAGGUCAAAAGGAGACUUUGGGCUACAUAUAUUCAUGGCACGCAGAAAUUCUUACAUUGAAGUAAUUUUAUUUACUUGAAUUAUAAAAAUGUUCUGUUGAAUGGCAGAUAACAUUUGUUAAUCAGCCAAUUUUUUUCCUCUAAAAACAGUUAACUUAGGUGAUUUUUGUGAAAAAAAUAGAAAAUGGAGCUCUUUGUUUAUUCUCAUGUACUACUAAUUUUAGUUUUAUGUAAUUCCUAAGUACAGAAAGCCAAAUUAUAUAUUUUUCCUAUUGCAAGCAUUUAAAGCAAUGUAAAAAAUUCUUCCAAUUCAAGGGACAUGGGCUCAUACAGUUUCCAUUAUGAUCACCUCCUUAAUGCUGGGAGCAUGUCUUUCAGAAGGAUUUAUGUUCACUAUUUUAAAUUAUUUUACUAAUUUUUCAAAUCCAGCAGAUAACACCCAUAAAAGCAACCUUCUCUUCUUUUUUGCUAAUUACUUUUUGAAGAAAAUCCCCUCUUAAAUUGAAGAAACUAUGUAUAACCCCAAAUAAAGUGAAUUGGCUUUCAUGUUUACUUUUGGUAGAUUUUGACCCUUCUGCAGGCCAUCUUUGGAGAUAGUCUGAGGAUGCAUCUUCAGUCUGAAUGUCUGCAGAAUGAACCUUUCAGUUCACUGUAUUAACUGAAUUUUGCAUACAGAUCAUAAACUGUAGGCUGCAUCUAUUGAAAUAAAACUUGUCAGCUUUUAUGCUCUUUUGCAUAGGGUGGGAUACCAAUCUUAGGCAACACUGAUACCUAUGCAGUUUGAAACAAAGUUAAUUGGAAACUUAAUAAUUCCCUUGCUUUCUAUUUUUUUAGCUGACCAUUUAGCUGUUUUGCUCCAGUCUUUUACUUUUUCAUCUGUACGUUCACUAUAAAACUAUGGCAGCUGGUUAAUUUGAUUGAAAACAUGUGUCUAAACUAUGUUAUGAAAGCUUUUUUUAAAUUUUAUUAUUACUAUUUAUUUGUUUUUUUUUUUUGGCUAGACCCUGUGCUAUUGUUCUUCCUUGUUGAUGAACUCAGAUGAAGAUUCGUGCUAAAGUAUUCUGGCGUUGCCUGUAAAGAAAACACAGUUCACUUAUUUGCUUUGGGGCUAAGAUUCCCCCUGGGGAUUUCUGACAUUGGGGAAAUUGUAGGCUACCUCAAGAGUAGUGAAGAACUUAAUGCUUUAGUGGUUAGGUUGUCCCAAUUCACUUUUUUCAUGGGAAACCAUGGAUGUUGUAAAUAACUGAGACUGGAAAGUGACAAUAUGUAUCCUGUCAUUUGGCACUUGAAAAUAAAUUACAUAUCCCAAUUCAUUAGUCUGUGGGUUAUGAAAAUUAGCAAGCAUACACAAAUGCUGUAAGCUCAGGAAAGCUCUGUGUACAUUCCAUAUAGCAUGUCUUAUAAAGUCUAUGGUGAGCAGCUCCAUGAUAGCAUAGGUCUGACAGAGC